GUCACAGUGGUUUAGUGGUUGGCACGUUUACCUCACACCUCUGGGCUUGUGGGUUCGAAUCCCACCUCUGCCC